CUUCAUUAGGUUGUGUUUGUUUCAAAGGACUGUGAUGCCCAACCUUAAUUUCUAUAGGAGUCCAGGACUACUAUAACUUGACUUAAGCUAGAUUAGUACCUGACACAUAAUUCCCAACACAAUUUCUCACUGCUCCUCCCUAGCUUCUGCUGAUCUUAGUAGAAACAAGUCGGUUGGGAAAACUCCGAAGCAAUCGGAGGCAAUUUCUGGUGUUUAGCGACAAACACCCAACCUGAAAGCACCUCAAAUCAAACAAGGGUUGCAAGUCUGCUUCUUUUUCUACUCUUGAGAGUUUCCACAGAGAAAUAAGGAAUCGAUGAGAAGAAGAGAAGAAAUUGAAAACCCAAACGAUCCAGACGGAGCUGAAUUGCAUGUAAGGAGCUGAAAAUGACGAGGCGAGGCUGAAGCGAAGAAUGGGCUUCCACAGUCCGAUGCUUUUUGGGGUUGAGUGUGUUUUUGGGACUCCAGAGUCUCAGUUAAUAGAGUCCCGAGUGAUGCCAAACACGGGAUAAGUCUUGUUAUAUGAGAUAAGCCUGCCCUAUCCCAUCCAGUCCCAUGUAACAAACCAUAGAUAAGUUAUUUGUCAAGUCCCAGUUGGCCAAACAGAAGAUACUGAAAUGGAAGACUCGGCACAAUCCAGAGCAACUCCCACAAUUGAAUUGCAUGGCGAUGAAUUCUGGCCACUUUCAGGGAAACCUUUCUUUGAUAUCAUACUCACAAAAUCCCAUGUCAAACCCCUUUACCAAAUGGAGAUCCCAGCCAAACUGAAUCCAGUAUUACCCGCUGGUGCUUCAGUUCCUAUGGUUCUCAGCUUUGGGGACAAGAGCUGGGAUAUGACAUAUAAUGAAACAAAACGUCUUAAAUUAGUGGAUCGACAAUCUUGGAGAGCAUUCGUCGAUGACAACAGUCUGAAGGCUGGAGAUGGAUGUAUUUUCGAACUAACGGGGUGUGACAGUACAAAAGUAGUAUUUAAGGUCCAAAUCCUCAGAGGUGACAUCCCAGCUGAGCUAGUAGAGAAGUACUCCGGCGAGACAGAGAAACCCAUUAUUAUAUAAUGAUGUUUCCUUUCCGUGGAAUCGUGGAUGUACCAAUUUCCUGACUCACAGAAUUGGUCAGGAGCUAAUAUAAUGUAAAGAGCUCAGUAGUCUAUUCAGAAUACUGCUCCAUUUUAAUAUGUUUAGAGCUAGAGAGGUGACAUCCAAGCUGAGCGUCUAAAGAAGUUCAUCGGUGAGGCAGAGAUCGAUUGAAUUUCUUGUAAUGUAAGGGGAAACUUGUGGAUGAAGAGUCGACUUCAAGUUAUAUGUAACUUCUUAUUAGUUAUACUUUGUCAGGGAUAACAUCUACCGGCAUUUACACAUUACUAUGU